rnacentral:rRNA from 1 species
AUUGAACGCUGGCGGCAUGCCUUACACAUGCAAGUCGAACGGCAGCACGGGGCAACCUGGUGGCGAGUGGCGAACGGGUGAGUAAUGCAUCGGAACGUACCUUUCAGUGGGGGAUAACGUAGCGAAAGUUACGCCAAUACCGCAUAUUCUGUGAGCAGGAAAGCAGGGGAUCGCAAGACCUUGCGCUGAUUGAGCGGCCGUUGUCAGAUUAGCUAGUUGGUGAGGUAAAGGCUAACCAAGGCGACGAUCGGUAGCGGGUCUGAGAGGAUGAUCGGCCACAAUGGAACUGAGACACGGUCCAGACUCCGACGGGAGGCAGCAGUGGGGAAUUUUGGAAAAUGGGGGCAACCCUGAUUCAGCCAUGCCGCGUGAGUGAAGAAGGCCUUCGGGUUGUAAAGCUCUUUCGGCCGGGAAGAAAUCGCACGGGCUAAUACCCUGUGUGGAUGACGGUACCGGAAUAAGAAGCACCGGCUAACUACGUGCCAGCCGCCGCCGUAAGAC